rnacentral:sRNA from 1 species
UUUGGGAUAAAAUAAUCUUUGUUGUAGAUCAUUCUUUAGAUAGUGUAAAAAACUUUGAGCAAUUUAGAUACACGGAACAAGGUGAUUUCAUGUAUUGACUCACAAGGUCAUGUCUUUUUCAAAAACAAUAAUGGUUUGAAUGGUUGUGACAGUUAGGACAGACAAAUCCAUUUACAGUUUGAACCGUUUUAAUUUAUCAUUCAUAAAUUAUGUACCCGCAGAGAUGCAGACCUAAAAAAUUAAAAGAAAAUCGCACGGAUCAACCAAAUACCGUUUUUACAUACGAAUAGAGUUAGUCUGUGACGGUUUGUUGUCCGCCCUAAAAAAACGGAAGAACAAUAUUUAUAAAA